GAAAGAAAGAAAGAAAGAAAGAAAGAAAGAAAGAAAGAAAGAAAGAAAGAAAGAAAGAAAGAAAGAAAGAAAGAGAAAGAAAGAAAGAAAAGAAAAGACAUUGCUUCCUCCAAGGCCAAUGGAGCUGCCCUCUUACUUGCUGUCAGUUCUUGUUCCAGCUCAUCUUCCAUCGCAGAUUCAGACUCCAACGUGGGCAUGACAAAGAGCAAUGGGAAGGACUAGAACUAUAAUUGGAAUUUGGUAUUAAACCACUCAAGCUCAGUUCAUUUAUAUCCAGUUUCAGGACCUCACAGACCCAUUGUGAUCAGAAUUAAUUCAAUGAUAUAUAAUAUUGCUAAACACAUUGUCAACGAUUCUAGUACUCUGGUUGGACACACUGACCACUUCAUUCAGAACUCUGAAGAGCCUUCAAGAAUCAGGGUCCCAAAACUGGAUACAGAUGAAACUAUGUUAUCCUUUGAUGUCUCUUCACUCUUCACUCCUGAUGCCCUAACAGUGGUUAGAAAAAGACUAGAAGAUGACAGUACUUGACACCCUUGACUAUAGAAUCAACCACAGCCCGGACCAGAUCUGCUGUCUUCUGGACCUGUGUCUGAAUACUACUUACUUUACCUAUAGAGAUGACUGCUACAGACAGAAACAUGAUUGUGUCAUGGAUUCUCCUGUACCACCCAUUGUUUUCAGCCUGUACAUGGAAGAAAUGGAGAAGAAAGCACCAGCUCCUUCCAGUGGAUAGCACCAAUCCACAGUGCCAAGAGGCAAGCUGUUCCAUUGUUUAAUUGUUCUCAAUGUCAGGAAAUUCCUCUUUAGUUCCAGAAUGAAUCUUACUUAAAUGAACUAAUCCUACUCAUUAGUUCUUGUCCUGCUCUCAGGUGUUAUGGAGAAUAAAUUAACCUUUUUCUGUGACAGUUCUUCAAGUGUUGGAAUAUGACUAUCAUGUCACCCCAAGCUUUCUCUUCAUUAAGCUAAACAUACUUUCUCUAGCUGACCAUCAUAUGACUUAGCCCCUUAUUAUCUUUGUUGCCCUUCUUUGCACUCUUUCUAGGGACUCAGCAUCUUUUUUGUAUCACAGUGAACAGAACUGGGUGCAGUAUGUGGUAUCAAUAGUGCACUAUAGAAUGGUACUGUCACUUCCCGUGAUCUUGAUGCCAUCUUUCUGUUAAUGGAAGCCUAGGACUGCAUUAGGCUUUUUGGCAGCUACAGCAUUCUGCUGGCUCAUAAUUAGGUAUCAUUCACCAGAACACCUAGCUCAGGGUUGUCAAACUUGCAUCGUCACGGUGGCAUCAUAUGAUGUAUCAGAACUCUUUCCCCUUCACUAAAUUAGGUAUGGGCAUGGCCAUCACAUGACGCAUCCAGCCCAUGGGCAAUGAGUUUGACACCCCUAAUCUAGAUCCUAUCACAGGCACUAUUGUUGAGCUUUAAACUUAAUGUUAACCGCUUCAAUCUUGAUUGCAGAAAAUAUGACUUCUGUAACAGAGUUAUUAACACUUGGAACACACUACCUGACUCUGUGGUCUCUUCUCAAAAUCCCAAAAGCUUUAACCAAAAACUGUCUACUAUUGACCUCACCCCAUUCCUAAGAGGACUAUAAGGGGCGUGCAUAAGAGCACAAAAGUGCCUACUGUUCCUGUCCUAUUGUUUCCUUUCAUUAUAUCAAAUUAAUAUAGUUAUUGCAUACUUUUGCUCAUAUAUAUGCUUAUAUGAUAUGUAGUUAUUUUAUGUUGAUGCUUGUGUAUAUUGUUGUGACAAAAUAAAAUAAAAAAACUUUACCUGGAACUGCUUACAUCCUGAAAAAAUACCUUUAAUAUUUUUAAAUAGUAUUAAACAACAACAUCUGUUUCUCCCUGGUCCUUGGGAAGAACUUGAUAGGUAAACAAAAUGCCAAAUUCAUUUUAAACAUCUGGCUGACUAUGUGACUAAACAGAAUAAUUCAUUAAAUGUAUAAUCCACCUGACUCUCAGUAACUCUAGAAAGUCUCCUGAUCAUAGUCUUCAUCUGCUAUCCUAUUAGGAGCUGAAAUUGUAAACAACCUUAUCAUAGAGUAAAAUAUGUUAAGCUGGAUGGUCUACUUAAGUCCCUUCUACUCUUCAUGUGACCCUGCUAGAACUGGUAUUAAGGGACUGAAAAUAAUUCUAAAAUUCAUCUUUUUCAUGCUUUAUCUAGCUUAUAGAUUUUUUGAAUCCAUAAAAUAUAGUAUAUACAGUAUGUGUGUGUAUGUACUGCAUAAAUUCACUUAUGGGAAUUAUGUACAUAAAUGUACCUAAUUACAUUACAUAAAUUCACUUCUGUGCUCUAAUAUUUCAUAAUUUAUAUGCACUUUCCAAUGAAACACAGUUAAUUGGGACUUCAAACAUUAAUUUGAAGAACGACACUGUAUCUUACAUUCUAUCUAAUAUUUGUUGCAAUUCAUUCAGUUUUUCAGGCAACAUGGCAUUGCCUUUGUACAAAUGUUUAUUACACAUAAAUUGACUGUGCACCAAUGUAUAUAGAAAUAUGUCCCACUCAACACACUUAUAAUAUAAUGAAAAACAUUCAUUAUACAUUUUCCAUAUAUGUAUUAAGGAAUCUAGGGGAUAACCUUUACCCUUAUUUGAUUUCUUGCUCAAUGUGAAACAUUUAUGAAACAUUCCAUGCAUUUUCACACAUGCUUUCUGGUAAUCAUGUACCCCUGCAUCUAUCAAUAAAUGGGUCCAUAGAUAUUAAUUUGUGCUAUCCAUAAAAGUGUUCACAUAUUUUUUUUUAGUAUAAAAGUAAAGGUAAAGGUUCCCCUCACACAUACGUGCUAGUCGUUCCUGACUCUAGGGGGUAGUGCUCAUCUUCAUUUCAAAGCUGAAGAGCCAGCGCUGUCCGAAGACGUCUCCGUGGUCAUGUGGCCGGCAUGACUCAACACCAAAGGCGCACAGAACACUGUUACCUUGCCACCAAAAGUGGUCCCUAUUUUUCUACUUGCAUUUUUUACGUGCUUUCGAACUGCUAGGUUGGCAGAAGCUGGGACAAGUAACGGGAGCUCACCCUGUUACACGGCAUUAGGGAUUUGAACCACUGAACUGCCAACCUUUUGAUCGAUAAGCUCAGCGUCUUACCCACUAAGCACCGUGUCCUAUUUUUAAUAUAGACCAGGCUAUUAUUCAUAGUUACACAUAGGGCGUUAGAAUGUAAGCAGUGCCAUAAGAUGUGAACCCCUGGCCUAUCUAUUUUUUAUUUAUUUAUUUAAUUUUGUCAUAACAAUAUACACAAGCAUCACACAAAAAGAUUAUAUAAUAUAUAAACAUAUAUGGGGAGAAACAAGGAAGUGUAAGCAUAUAUAUAUAUAUGGAGAAAGAAACAAUAGGACAGGAAUGGUAGGCACGUUUGUGCUCUUAUGCACGCCCCUUAAAGUCCUCUUAGGAAUGGGGUAAGGUCAACAGUGGAUAGAUUUUGGUUAAAGCUUUUGGGGUUAUGAGAAGAGACCACAGAGUCAGGUAAUGCAUUCCAAGCACAGAUAAUUCUGUUACAGAAGUCAUAUUUUCGGCAAUCCAAAUCUAGUCUGAGUCUAUACUCACUGUAGCUAACCAAUUGUAGAAUUAGCUAAUUAGGCCUUAAAUUGCAGUUUAAAUAUGGUAACUUUAAAAUAACUAAUAGCUGAAUCAAUUGUUGCACAGUGGCAUAAAGAAAGAAUAUAAGGCAUUGUAAUGUUUAUACAUUUAUAAUAAUACAAUAAUGAAAUGCAUUAAUAAAUAAUGCAUUUCAGGAGUUCGGUCCUGACUGAUUCAAGGUUGAUUCAGUCUUUUAUCCCUUUGAGAUCAGUAAAAUGAGGAGCCAGAUUGUUGUGGGCAAUUUGCUGAUGUUGUAAACUGCUUAGAGAAUGCUCCAAAGCACUAUGGAGCAGUAUAUAAGUUUAAGUGCUAUUGCUAUUACUACACAAACACACACACACAAAAUUAUAUACACACAACAGGUGGUAAUUGGAAACAUUUUCUAUGAAAAAUGGAAGCAAGAGAAUAUGUAUUUAUAAAAUCUACUGCUUUGUUAUCUGCUACUGUAUACCUUCUGUGUCUGAACAGACACCCAAUUGAUUUAAAACUUGCAGUUAUCUAGAACUUUAUCCAAUAAUGCUAUCACAGCAAAAAACACU